rnacentral:lncRNA from 1 species
CUCAGACUCAAAAUUGUUCCUGUUGCCGCCGCAGCCACCAUAUAUAAAGCGCACGCACUUUCCCUUGGAGAGGUCGAAGUACCAACGAGGCAUCACGGCCCGGCAGGGCCCCGUCAUCGCCUCCUGGGAGCAGACAGCUUUGACAUCAUGAGUAAUUUCCUUGUCUGACAUGGUGCCGUCGCUGCCGGGUUCAGUAGGAUUCUCCUCAUUGUAGUCAUCUCCUUUGAAGGUGUCAUAGUAGUAAUCUCGGUCCUCCACCACUUCCUCCCCUUCUUCCUCAUCCUCAUCAUCCUCAUCCACAGCUGCUUCUGUGAAGUCUUCCAGAUCUGCUUCAGUAGGAAAUUCACUUUUAUAAACAUCAUAGUCUUCCUCUUCAUCUUCCUCUUCCUCUUCCUCUUCAUCUUCCUCUUCCUCUUCUUUUGACACAGAUCCAAUAAUCUUUGUCUGAGGGCAGCACACAUAUUCAGUGCCAUGGAACUGGUCUACCCCACAUGGGAGCAGCAUGCCGUAGCUAUAUAAGGUCAUUCCCUGAGUCAGACAUGCCUCUUUGACUACCGUGUGCCAGUGCUGGUGAUUCUCACACACCUCCAUCCGCUCUUUGUGGAAAAACUGGCACUUUUCUGGAACUAGCAGGACAUCACUUAC